GCUGAAUUCAAGAUGAGUUUAUGUAACAGGAAAUCUGGCUAGCUCAGGCUUGGCCACGUGACUUGUUUAAGAUGCCAACUCUGAGAAGUUCUUUCACUUUGGUCCUUACCGUGAGAAAAGCAUGUACAAGUAAGGCUCUGCUCCUUCAAUCUGGCUUCUGGAUUGAGAAGACAAAUGAGGCAGACCCCAUCGAUCCACCCUCUGCAACAGAGCCACAGCCGGCCAAUACUUCACCUGUAAGCAGUCAUUGUUCCUUACACGUUUACAACACUGGAGUCCGUAAACUGCUAUCAGAUAGACGACCUCAUUUGUGACUCACAACUUCAUUAAGAGUGAGGAAACAGAAGCUCAGAAGAGUUAAAAUAAUUUCAUAAGUUUAUGCAAUUAAGCAGCAGAAGUGAAAUCUGAAUCCAGGUCUGUGUAGUGUCUCCAUUACCCCAUACUUCUGCUCCCCCCCACUUGGA